AUUGAACGCUGGCGGCAGGCCUAACACAUGCAAGUCGAACGGUAACAGGGAUCAGCUUGCUGAUUCGCUGACGAGUGGCGGACGGGUGAGUAAUGUCUGGGAAACUGCCUGAUGGAGGGGGAUAACUACUGGAAACGGUAGCUAAUACCGCAUAACGUCGCAAGACCAAAGAGGGGGACCUUCGGGCCUCUUGCCAUCGGAUGUGCCCAGAUGGGAUUAGCUAGUAGGUGGGGUAACGGCUCACCUAGGCGACGAUCCCUAGCUGGUCUGAGAGGAUGACCAGCCACACUGGAACUGAGACACGGUCCAGACUCCUACGGGAGGCAGCAGUGUGGAAUAUUGCGCAAUGGGCGCAAGCCUGAUGCAGCCAUGCCGCGUGUAUGAAGAAGGCCUUCGGGUUGUAAAGUACUUUCAGCGGGGAGGAAGGGAGUAAAGUUAAUACCUUUGCUCAUUGACGUUACCCGCAGAAGAAGCACCGGCUAACUCCGUG
rnacentral:rRNA from 1 species